rnacentral:tRNA from 1 species
GCCCUAAAAGCUCUCUGAAGAGCACCAGGUCUUGUAAACCAGGAGGGAGGGUUAAAGUCCCUAUUAGGGCU